AUGAGUCUUUACUGUGAACGAUAUAACGGGUUCGCGGAGGAAUAUCGGCAGCUCGGAGAGCCUGGCAGGGCAAGAGCGCCGAGGGGUGACCGCGACCCACGCCGCGAUCCACUUGGAGAGCCUGGGGCAGAGCGCGAGGGUGACUGCGACCACGCCGCGAUCCACUUGGAGAGCCUGGCAGGGCAUGAGCGCAGAGGGGUGACCGCGACCCACGCCGCGAUCCACGCCAACCCCUGUCAGGCGGGGAUGCAGCUGAGGGCCACAGACGCAGGCACCGAGGGUGGGGACGGCCCUGUACGCUGAAGGGGGGGGUCGGCGUGCGACCCGAAAGAGGAGAACCGGACCACAACAACAACAACACCACCCAGAAAAUCCCACUGCUUGUGCCAGCGUCCCCGAGGCACACUCCCAGGAAGAACACAACGUCCCAGCUCCCCCUUGCCCAACUCCCCUGCCCAAGGUCACAUCCCAAAUCCCCAGCACUCUGCAAAGCGAUUAGAGUCUCGUCGCUUCAGGACCAAACAUCGCCGUGACCACUGACGCUCCACACACGCUCAGAGACAGUGGUGCCCCUGAACGCAAGGCGGCAGUGCUUGUGAGUAUUUCCGCGGGAAAAGCUACUGAACCCCAACCUGAUUAUAUCAGCGACUCGGACAACGACUUUGUCUAAUUUAGUUACUCACAACGAGGGGUUUAGGGUCCGUGAGUGGAUCCACUAUGAUGAACUAACUUUGUCCGCGGCUAAAGGUUCACAGCCACACAAUGUUUGCGACUCAAAUGUUUUCAUUUUUUACCCUCUUGUUUACCUUGUUUUUCUACUUGUUUAACUAAAUAUGAUUUAUGCAAAACUGGGGUUUGGCAUUAUCAGGAGAGAGGAAUGUAAUGACAGUUUUAGAGUUAAUUAAAUUGAAGUCAGUAAUACACUAAUUGUGAAGUACCGUCUGGCCCGCUUAAUCAAUGCCUGGACCCGUCUCCUGUGCUUUAUCCCGGCCAAAGCACAUGCUGAGUUUCUGCUUCACACCUAAGACGUGUCCUGGCUCAAAGGCCUUCCUGUGGCCCCUCCCAUCUUGGUGCUGGGACGGCCUCUCAUGUGUACUCAUAUAACGAGGGGACAGACUUCGGCUCCCCAGAGCUAACCAUGAGUUUUACCUGUGUGUUGGCCCUCCGCACGUGUGUUAAAUUAAACUUACACUUUUGAUAAGACAAAUACUUUCAAGCUUUCCUUUAUAGUGGUGAGAAAUUGCCACGACAAGUGUCAAAACCAGACUUAGAGAGACUCAUCCAUGCAUUUGUCUCCAGCAGGUUAGACUACUGUAACGGCUGCUCACUGGCCUUUCUAAACGAGCUGUUAGAGCUGCAGAACAUCCAGAACGCUGCUGCUCCAGUCCUGACAAGAACCAGGAAAUACGACCACAUUAGUCCAGUGCUCCGGUCUCUGCAUUGGCUUCCUGUCACUCAGAGAAUAGAAUUUAAAACAGCUCUGCUUGUGUACAAGUCUUUUCAUGGUUUAGCACCAAAGUCCAUCUCUGACAUGUUAGAGCCGUAUGAACCAUCUCGGGCCCUGAGAACUUCAGGGAGGGGUCUCCUGGUGGUUCCCAGAGUCAAUAAUAAACACGGUGAGGCUGCGUUUCAGUUUCAUGCAGCUAAAAUCUGGAACAGUCUUCAUGAGGAUGUGAGACAGGCCUCAACUCUGACAAUGUUCAAAUCCAGGCUGAAAACAGCUCUUUUUACCCGUGCAUAUGAAAACUGAAAGUAUUUUAUCUGCACUCUUGCCUUUUACUGUCAUUGAUUAACUUUAUGUUGAUGUUUUAUUGAUUUUAUCUGUUUUCUUGUAAUUUUAUGCAACUGUGAAGCACUUUGAAUUGCCUUGUGUAUGAAUUGUGCUCUACAAAUAAACUUGCCUUGCCUUUCACACAGAAAAGAAGUGGAUGUGGUUUACCAGGCUACUCUCAUGCAGGCACUGAGAAAUGUCACAGAUUAGUGUAAAGUCAACUAUGCAGACACAUCGUAAACUUUUCUGCAGAUUCACCACAUACAAGUCCAAAGUGUGAUAAAAAAUGUCUGCUUGCUAAUGAUAAAGUCUAUAAAAUGUUCAAAGGACUACGUGAGCUUUAGUGCGGAUUUGUGCAUGACAGUGUUAUCCAAAAUGUCAUGUUCUGAGAAUCAAUAUCAAACUGGUUUGAACAAGCUAAUGCCUGAACGUUCAAUGUAUGAGGUUAAUGUUUAAUGUUUAAGUAAACAUGUUUUUCUCUAGCUGCACGUACAACCCAAGUCAAGGCCCGCAUGUUUGUGUAAUUGGGAGGCUGUGCUAAGAGUAUAAAAAGGACAAGAGUAGGAUGAGACGGGAGACUUCCUAUCGUAUAUCUGUCAAUGACGAAACCUGUAUCACUUGCUGUAGCCUGAAUAAAGACUCCUGAGAACGCACUUCUCUCUCCGCCAUUUUUUCCAAAUCGAGAAGUCCUGGACAGAUAACAAUCUUACAUUUAAAGACUGACAAAAGCUAAAUGUGACCAAAAAGUGGUUUGCAUUUGCUUGUAACCUCCAAAGACUGCAACAACGUAGCAUUCUUCUGAUAAUUCUUGUUCUAGUAUGACAAAAAGUUGGAAAAAUGUUAAAAUAUGAUGCUCACCUCCGAUGUUUCCGGGGCAGAGUUCUACUCUCUCUCUUGCUCUGUCGUUGCACCAGCGGAUGUCUCUGCGUUUGUGUCAAUGUGUAACUUUGUG
rnacentral:lncRNA from 1 species